UUAGGGACAGCAGAGGGACAUUGUAGUCAUAAAGCAUCUUUCCUUCGUGAGGAAGAAGGGGAGAAGAGGUGGUGGUGGGGAGGUGACCAGGAAAGAAAAUGUAAAGAGAGCUGAAACAGAGAAAGAGGACUGGAAAGGCACCGUGUCAACAACAUGUCUGCCGAUUUUCUCAGCACAUGACUUGGGUACUUUCUGGAUGUUAGCAGGAGAGACCACAGAACCCCAGGAAUUCCAGCACUGAAAGACAGGGCAUGACCACUAAUGGUGUCUGUCUUAUAUCCACAGCCUCAACUUAAUCCGAGUGACCUACAGGUGUUUUGAUAAUUCCUACCUGUGGGAGAGGAAUUGCAGGCUCAUUUAAUCCCACAGCAAGAGGCAUAUAGCUGUGCUUCAUGGUGGCCUGGCCUUUCCUCCUAAAACAACAUCUACUCAGUAUCUUCCAUGUGCCAGUCACUGAGCAGACUCUGGGCUUCAGAGGCACAUGAGGAGCAGGAUGCUUGCUGGGCAUUCGAGUGUUGCAUUCGGCAAGUUUCAUUGCAACACAUUGCUUUUCUUGCACCACACCCUUUGCAGAGGUUGUCACGUGUUAGCCUGCAAGGAUGGCACUGUCUUGGCUGAGAAAUGACCCAGAUUCUGGUCCUGGAUGGCCCAGCACUUCCAAGUCGGGAAUCCUAGCCAAUGAAACUCCUGUUGUUCCUCCUCUUCCUGAAGAUUCCUCCAAAGUUCACCUCCCCUCUGGCUCCCACUGCCCCCAGUGACUGAGGCUCUUGCCUCCCUACAGCCGCUGCUCCAACUUAUUGUCAUCCCAACCUUAGACCUACUCAGUGCACAGCCAAAAGGAUGAUCCUAAAAUUACUGUGAGUCCUCUAAGUUUAAUUCUUUUGUUUUUGGAAUAAAAACAAGUUUUCCUGGCUGUAGCCAGAA